rnacentral:pre_miRNA from 1 species
AUUCGUUAGAUGAAUGUGAGGCGUUGGGUCGAUUUCACCCAAUCCAAGCCCCACAUUCAUCAGAGGUUCGU